GCAAGAGCUCAAAUUUGAAAGCUGGCUCCUUCGGGGUCCGCAUUGUAAUUUGUAGAGGAUGCUUCGGGAGCGGUCCCCAUCUAAGUGCCCUGGAACGGGACGUCAUAGAGGGUGAGAAUCCCGUAUGGGAUGGGGUGUCCGCGCCCGUGUGAAGCUCCUUCGACGAGUCGAGUUGUUUGGGAAUGCAGCUCUAAAUGGGUGGUAAAUUUCAUCUAAAGCUAAAUAUUGGCCGGAGACCGAUAGCGCACAAGUAGAGUGAUCGAAAGAUGAAAAGCACUUUGAAAAGAGAGUUAAAAAGCACGUGAAAUUGUUGAAAGGGAAGCGCUUGCGACCAGACUCGCUCGCGGGGUUCAGCCGGCAUUCGUGCCGGUGUACUUCCCCGCGGGCGGGCCAGCGUCGGUUUGGGCGGUCGGUCAAAGGCCCUCGGAAGGUAACGCCCCUAGGGGCGUCUUAUAGCCGAGGGUGCAAUGCGACCUGCCUAGACCGAGGAACGCGCUUCGGCUCGGACGCUGGCAUAAUGGUCGUAAACGACCCGUCUUGAAACACGGACCAAGGAGUCUAACAUCUACGCGAGUGUUCGGGUGUCAAACCCGUGCGCGAAGUGAAAGCGAACGGAGGUGGGAACCCUCACGGGUGCACCAUCGACCGAUCCUGAAGUCUUCGGAUGGAUUUGAGUAAGAGCGUAGCUGUUGGGACCCGAAAGAUGGUGAACUAUGCCUGAAUAGGGCGAAGCCAGAGGAAACUCUAGUGG
rnacentral:rRNA from 1 species